UUCACUGACACGCAAAAUAAAACACAACAAUAAAAAAUGUAAUAAACGUGCCGACUGUGCAACGUCACUUCCGUACAGAAAUCUGCUCGAAAGUACCACGCGCGAGCGGAGGAGACCAAAAGACUAGACAGGAGGUCUGCAGCCAUACCCGAUACCGCAGGCAGCUCAUCUCUGCUAUUUUGGCAUUGUGGGAUAGCUCGCCGGACUACUUUCGCCUGAUCCAGCGCUGAAUUUGCAGACAUGAGAAGAUGCUGCUGGAUGAGUUGGGAAAUGCCUUUGAUUUGUCACUAUAAAGCCGACGGAGACGUUUUUGAGCGACACUGCAGUCACAGACAGAUAUUUUCCUGCUGGACAGAGUGUCCUGUCUGUCUUCAGGGAGCCACUGAGUCUCUCUUCAUGGUGAUGAGAUUCAUCUCCAGCAGAAUGAUAUGACUGACAACUUAAAGAACGCUGAUGAGGUGCAGCAUGCUGGUUCCACGGUGACAUUAUUCUGUGUUGAAGUGACUGAACGUGCUGAUGGACACUGAGACUCGACAAACAGCAGGAGAAUCACUCAUUUACAAUAUAAUAGAAUAUCCUUUACUGUCAUUGUACUAGUACAAUUAAAUCAUUGGUGUCCCUCUGUGACAUCAGUACAACACAUUUAAUAAUAUUUUAUCUGACACAUUCUGUGAAAUGGAUGCAAAGGACAGUGGAAGAAGGAACAACAAGCUCUGCUGACAUAACCACACUGAUCUACAAAAAACAAACCAAACAAAGGCAAAGACACUUGAAAUAACAGUUUAAUUUUACUUGAUUGUUUUAGUUCCCCAUGACCUGGUCCUGGAUAAGCCGUUGAAGAUGAGAUUAUUUUUUAUUCAGAUUCAUAUGAGCAGGACAAAAGAUCACGUUCUUGCUCAGGUUGUUGUUAUUGUGACUCUUUAAAACUGAACAAAACUGGAAAAGUGUGUGAGUGUGUGUGACAGAGAGAAGAAAUUGAAUUAAGCUAGGUUAAUAGAAGAUGGCAGCAGCGCAAACUAUAGGUUCUUCUUAAAACUGAUAAACAUGUAUUGCACACAUAGGGUUUAUGUAGACUCUUUCCUGCUUAUAUAUGCACCAAAUAAUUUUUUUUGUAUUAUUUUUGCUUGCCAAAAAUAAAGGAUUUUUUUUAAUCAUUGAAAAAUGGUUAAUUUUUUAUUAUUAUUGUAACAAUGAAUUAAAACAUUCCUAUCAAAAACAGUCAGCAUAAAUAAUAGAAAUUAAAUUAAAUAGAAAUGUUAUGACCCGCAACCUGCUCCUGGAUAAGUGGUUGAAGAUGAAUGAGUGAAUGAGAAACAUUAUGACUAAAAAUGGCAGAAAAAGUUGAGUUUUAUGUGUGGAUUGAAAAGACUGAAAAAGUUCUCCAUCCUGUCAUCUUCUUAGCGACUUUCAUAGCACGGACUAAAACCUGCAUCUCAAGACUGUGAUCCCUCAUGAGGGAACAAAUUCAGUGAGAUAAGAAGGCACACAUAUUGUGAAUAAUCUGGUGAAGUCCUGUAGAUUUUUAGUUGGUGGGGGGUGUAGCCAGAAAAAACAAACAAAAAAAUUACAUACAGUUUUUUGUGGCUGCCUGAAAAGCUGCAGAUUUGCAAUGUCAGAAGCAUACAGUGAGCAUCUUUUUCAGCACCGACAGCAGUGUGACGGCUCUCAGAUUUGUUAGCGGUCCUCUCAGGUUUUCAGGGUUGUCUUGUGGUGUUAUGAUACAUUUUAUGAUACCUUCUUUGAUUUCAUUUGGGUGUUGUCUGUCCCUCUUGUCUUUGUAGAAGUAUAAUUUUUUUCUUUUCGUUUGCUGUUGCUUUUACUGCUUUGAACAUCCUAUGGGAAGCAUUUCUUCAUUGUUUAUAUAUAUAUAUAUCUAUAGAUAUAUCUAUACAAAAUAACAAAGUAUUACUUUUGGAUUUAGAAUGUGCUGACUGACAAGACACAGUCAAGAAUUUCAGUUGCCUGGUUGCACUUCUGUUUUUCAGGUGACUCCCCAAGGACUUUUCUGGCCUUCACUUUCCCAUAGUGCUUCACUGCCAACUUCUACUGUGGACUUUAUGAAGAGGACUUGUUCUGAUUAAUUGGCUGCACACACAUUUAUGAUAGUGCAUGUUCCAACAUAAGACAUGUGAUUUUACAAAAAGCUUUUCUCACAUGGUAACCACAGAACAACAAAUAAAUUCAUGAUUUAACCUGUUAUUUUUAUUAUUAUAUUAUUUAUUUUAUUAUUUUGAAAUUAGAUAAGGCAGGCAAGUUCUAAAACUGCAUGUGCACCAGUGCACAUGCACUGUCAUUGAGGUGACUUGUAUAAAGGAAUUGAGCGUUCCAAGCAUGUUGUCCCUUACCAAAAAGUAGUAUAUGCAAGUAUGUUUCAAUUAUACUUCUAGUUUACUUUUAUAUACUUAUCAGUACUAUUUUUUGGUAAGGGGUGUUCUUUUGAAGUUAGUCACAUUUCUCAUAUCUGCUGUAUUUGGCUGUCUGACAGUUCUCUGUGGAAUUAUGAUUUUUUUUUUCUUAUUGAAGUGAAUCGAUAAAUUGAUUUGAAUUUGACUGGUGUCUUAACAAAAGAUUGUUACUUUUGGAGCCUAAUCACUCAAAUCUGCCUUGAAUGAAAGUUGAAAACUGGUCACUUUUACCUUCGUGUGAGAUUCAUAACAAUGUUCAUAUUAGUCUCCUGUGACCACAUGUGAUGUGUCCUUUGUUUGUUGUUUUUUAGUCUUUGCUUUCUAUUUCCACUUUAUUCAGUGUUACAACAGCACAUCAACUUAAAUUAAAAAAUCCUAAGAUAAAUAAUAAAAAAAGGAAAGUCAAAGGUUUUGGCAUGUAAUGUCGUAUACGCAGACAAGUAUUUAUUUUCAAAGAUCAACAGUGCAAUCAACAUAUUUACAUCAAUGUGGAACCAAGACUGGAAACGAGUAAGUUUGUUUGAAUAAAUG